rnacentral:lncRNA from 7 species
UCCAUGUCGUCGUCUUCGAUAGAUUUGGCGAGACCGGUACCACCGAACCGUGCAUGCCAUUUGCUCGCUGGGGGAGUUUUUUUUUCCUUAGGCAGGGGCCGGACCUAUUUAGGCGACGCACCUUUGUGACACUGCAUCAAGCUAGAUUCAAGAGCCUGCGUUUCUGGUUGAGCACAAAGAACGACAGAACAGGCAGCCAAUAAUAACACACGCAUCCAUCAUUCCUGGCUUAUUAGGUGUAGCACAUUGAUUAGUGCAAACGCGGUGGCGUACUGGCACACACGCUUGUUGGGCAGGUCCACGAGCGAUCGACCGAGCUGGGUGUCGUUACUGGAUCGGAACAGCCGGGAAUCACGAUCGUCGUCCAGGUGGAGGAGAACAACGUACGCACGUACUACGUCCUGGUCCUGUGGUCAGGCGCGGCGCUGCCUCGUGCGCGCAUGGCCCGUAAAUGGUAAUGGCCUAUCGGCGCCCAUUAUCUAUGCUACUUGCGUGUGCAUGGAUUCGUGUCCUGCUGGGAUGCGAAUGCGAGACAUGGCACCAGCGCUCCAUGAGCCGCUAUGAGUAUAGUCCGAAAAGGUAUGAUCCAAAGUCCAAACACAAGACAGGGUCUGGGUCGUAGUGAUAG